rnacentral:rRNA from 1 species
AACGAACGCUGGCGGCAUGCCUAACACAUGCAAGUCGAACGAGACCUUCGGGUCUAGUGGCGCACGGGUGCGUAACGCGUGGGAAUCUGCCCUUGGGUUCGGAAUAACUUCGGGAAACUGAAGCUAAUACCGGAUGAUGACGUAAGUCCAAAGAUUUAUCGCCCAAGGAUGAGCCCGCGUAGGAUUAGCUAGUUGGUGAGGUAAAGGCUCACCAAGGCGACGAUCCUUAGCUGGUCUGAGAGGAUGAUCAGCCACACUGGGACUGAGACACGGCCCAGACUCCUACGGGAGGCAGCAGUGGGGAAUAAUUGGACAAUGGGCGAAAGCCUGAUCCAGCAAUGCGCGUGAGUGAUGAGGCUUAGGGUUGUAAAGCUCUUUUACCCGGGAUGAUAAUGACAGUACC